UUUAAACUUCAGCUCAUAUCCCAAGCAGGACUAACACUGGGGGUUGCUGAUAGGAGGAGAAGAGAUUGGGAAAUGGAGGUAGUUAGAGAGAGAGGAACUUUGUUCAAUAUCGUCACUUUUUGCGGGAAAGGAGUAAGUGGGGGAAAAUGCAUCCUCAGCUGAUCCACAGAGAAGACCAACUGUCUUCCCUCCUGAUUACUGACAUUCUCAUCCAUGGGUAAACACAGAAAAGGAAACAAAAGCAGAAAGGUUUCUUGUCAGCAAUUCCAGUAAGAUGUUUCUCCAGCCAGAGACGAGCCUAGAGCCAGCACACUUCAAAGACAAUACAAUCGCCUGUCAGCUGCAGAAUUUCUCCUGGUCCAAGGUGUGUCUGAAUAACAGCUGUGCUGGUGCCUACUGGAGGACAGAAACAUGGCAAAGAGUAAGGGGAAGUGAUGAUAUAGAAUGUGUAAGGUGGGAAUUCAGGAAACAAUGACAGCAAAAGUGAUUUGAGAAACAAAGCCAAAGGAAAAGAGGUCCACUUGGCAAGGGGAUGAAAGUGGCCUUUGGCCAACAGCCAGCAAGGAGCUAAGGCCCUUUAUCCAACAACCCUUGAAGAACUGAAAUCUUCUAACAACCACAUGAGCUUGGAAAUGGAUCCCCGCCUUGACCCUUCAGAUGCGACCCCAGCCCUGGCCAGCGCCUCGAUUGCCACCUUGUGAGAGAUCCUGAAGGAUGGAUCCAGCUAAGCCAUGACCAGCCUGAGUGUUCAGCAGCACGGGGGGCCCACUGCUUGGUCUACACCCAAAAGAAAGGGAAUCCCUGUUUGGAGGGAUGUCUGCACCCCGGGCUCAUGGCAGCACUGUUCACCACAGUCAAGGCGUGGAAGCAAUCUAAGUUCCAUCAACAGAUGAAUGGAUAAAGAAGAAUAUAUAAUACACAAUGGAGUACUCUUCAGCCAUAAAAGAAGAAAGACAUUCUGUCAUUUGUGACAAUGUGAGUGAACCUGGGAGAUAUCAUAUUAAGUGAAAUAAGCUAGGCACAGAAAGACAAAUACCAUGUGAUCUCACUUAUAUGCAGAAACUAAAAAAAUUGAAUUCAUAGAAGCAGAGGGUAAAAUGGGUAAAAUGAUGGCUACUAGGGACUGGGGGAGGGAGACGUUGGUCAAAGGGCAUACAAUUUCAGUUAGACAGGAGGAGUGAUCAAGAGGUCUAUUGUGCAACAUGAUGAUUAUAGUUAAUGAAUUAUAUACUCGAAAAUUGCCAAGAGAGUAGAUUUUAAGUGCUCUUACCACAAAAACGUAAGUAUUUGAGGGAGUGGAUAUGUUAAUUAGCUUAGCAUAGCCAUUAUACAACAUAUAUGUAUUUCAAAACACGUUGAAUGCAAUAAAUUAUACAAUUUUUGUUUGUCAAUUAAAAAAUAAAUAAAUUUAAAAAGUGAAAAUGAAACCCAAGUGCUCUUGUAUUGAGAGCAUUGGGUGGAGGUAGCACUGGAAAAGAGAAAAUAAAGUGCAGACUGGCCCUGAGGGGCCCUUUCUGGGGGAGCAUAGCCCCAAUCCAUUUUUUUUUGUCCUGGGACGGCAGAACUCCCUGGCAGGAACGCCUUGCUUUCCUGUGCAUUCCACAAGCUCUGACAAUCAUCUGAUAAGCACCAAGCCUUUCACUGAAACGGGGAUACUAGGACAGGGCACUAUGAGCUUCCUGACCCUCAGGAGCUCACUGUCUGCUCGGUGGGAGAGUGGGAGGGUGAGGAGGGCCGAUGCCCGCAGAGAGCAGGGUCAGAUAGACAAUUCUGGGCUGGCUCCCUCUGUUCUUUAGAGGGGGCCGUGCCAAGCCUGCCAACUUGGGCUGCAGGGCGUUGUCAGGGAAAACUUCCUGGAGAAGUUGGCCCCGGGGUCAGGCCUGAGGAACAAAGACGAGCUAGAGAGGGAGUGGAGAGGACUGGGGAGUGGAAGCAGUAACGGAGGCCCGCGGGGUCCCCAAGGGCUGGGCGCAGGCAGUCAGCAGGA
rnacentral:lncRNA from 1 species